GUACAUUUAAAAAAAAAUUUAAUGAUUGGGUCCGCCCAUGCCGGCAACCCAAAUCCAAUAUAUUUUUUUUUUGUUGUAUUUAUUCUUAAAUGUAGAAAAGAGAGAAAAAGAAUAAGUGAUGUUAAUAUUAUUUAUAUUUAUUCUUAAAUGUAAUUGUAAUAUAUUACGGAUUUAAAAAGAAUUUAGAAGAGUGUCAAUAGUCUUCACUCCAUAGUAAUACAACACGAUUUCAUUUAAAAAAACACACAUAUAUAUAUAUAUACACACACAAAAUAAUGUUAUAGUGUUUAAAUUUCACAUCACACAUAUCUCUGUCUUUGGGCAGCAUCUUUCUUCGGAUCAUUUCGCUCGUAACAACGGCCACGUAUCCGCACACCUAUGGUGUAAUGAUCUCACAUCGAGGGCCCCUACUUGUACCCCAACAGACAAAAAGCCACACAGAUUAUGCUUUUACAUUCAGUAUUGAAGCCUUUGUGAUUCUGUGAUGUGAUUGAUACCAAAUGUUACAAACUCAUGGGUAUCUCAAACUCAUUAAUCCUAAAAAAACAGUUUUGUAAUAAAAAUGGAAAGGUGCUUAUAUUCUUAUUUAGGAAUCAUAGGGUUAGUUUGAAAAUGUUGUAAUUUUUAAAAUAAUAGACAUUAGAUGUGUUGUAAAAAUAAUUAAUUGUAAAGAGAAUCAGUAAAGUAUUUGAUAAAUCAUGUUUUCAUAAGUAAUGUGAAUGUGAGUUUGAAAACUCAUUGUACUUCUGAAAAUGACUAAAAUGUCAAAAAUAUACAUAAUGUUUUUAAUGU
rnacentral:lncRNA from 1 species